rnacentral:lncRNA from 1 species
GUGCUGAGCGGCAAGGCACAGCCGCGGGAAGGUAAACGCAGAGCCGAGGGGCCGGCCAGCACCUGGCCCUGACCGCCCCCAGGCCACGCAUUCCUUGUUACUUCACCUCCUGGCGGAUGGCAACCGUCCCAGCUUCGUGGACUGUCAGGGUCACCGAGAGUCCAGGGUGGUGGGAGUCCCCCACACGAGCCACUGGCACACUCCCUGAAGCAGAAGCCACGGCGCCAAAGCUGUGGGCUCAGGGAACUUGCCCAUUACCUGGCAGCCCCGCAUCUGUGCCAAAAUAAGACACAACUCAGCCCAGCGGAGUGGACAGUGUCUGCGGCCAGCUCUGGGAUCCAGGGCCAGCUGAUGCUGGGAACAGCCGUCCUUGCCCUGUGCCUCUCCACACUGCGAGAGCCCCUGCAGCCCAGAGGGGCUCCACCUCCCCUGCAAUGGGGCUCAAAAGACAAUCCUUCUACGGGGCUGGCAGGACAGACGUGACAGGAACAACGAUGGCCUGCUCCUCCCGGAAGGUGGCUUCAAGAGCACUCAGGAGGUGACAGAUGCUGUCAAGACCGGCCCAGGGAAGGCACAGGGCAGGUUUCCCAGCACCCACCACGCGCCAGCGAGCACAGAGCCUUCGCCUGAACCAUCCAGGCACCGCGCCCUCCCCCUCCGCACACACAGGAGCCCAGCUGCGAUUCCCUCUGCUCCACAGGAGAUGCAGCGAGCACCAAAGAGCCUUCCUCCAGGAUUAAGCCUGAUGCAGAAGUGGUUACACUGACUACGGCAAGCUGAGCCCUGCCGGCUGUUGUGCGCUCCGUGGAAAGGGAGAAGCACGGUCUCCAGCGGCUGCGUCAGGAGUGGUGCCUUGUGCACACCUCACAGGGAGAGAAGUCUCCAACGGACUGAGCGGAGGAAAAAAGAAAAAAGGAGAAAAGGAAAAAGAGCUGCAUA